rnacentral:rRNA from 1 species
AUGGUUGAACAACCGAUCAACGUGGUAAGUUGGAAUGUCCGAGGAUUGAAUUGUGCUGACCGUUGCUCUACUGUGCACGAGACAAUUGUGUCCUCCUCCUGUCAGAUUGUGUGUUUGCAAGAAACCAAGCUUGCAAGCGUUGACCUAUUCACGGCCGCGUUCCUCGGUGGAAAUAGGCUCCGUAGCUUUGCCCAGUGGCCAGCCAUUGGCACUCGAGGGGGGAUUCUUAUGCUCUGGGAUGUGCAGGUUGUCGACAUCAACGACAUCGCCUGCACCGAUUUCUGCCUUUCAGGGACGGUUUGUGUCAAGGCCUCUGGCACCCGCUUCAGAAUUACUACCAUCUACGGUCCAACGUCAUCUAGUCUCAAGGAAGCGUUCUACACCGAGCUCGUUGGACAGAUGCCACCUCCAGGUGAGAGAUGGCUUGCCUUGGGUGAUUUUAACCAAAUACGCUGGGCCCAAGAUAAAAACAAGAGGAAUGUCAAUAUGAGGCGCAUAAACCGCUUCAGGUCAAUAUUACAAAGUUGUGGCCUGAGUGAGAUUCAUUUGCAGAAUCGUCGCUUCACCUAGAGUAACGAGAGGGACAACCCAACUUUGUGCAAACUGGACGCUUUCUUCUGCAAUGCCGAGUGGGACUUGCACUUCAACACCCACAUCCUCCAUGAGCUUUCGUCAUCGCUCUCCGACCACUGUCCACUCCUGCUCGCCGAUGACAAGGGGCCGCGGAGGCCUAAGAGCUUCAAGUUCGAGAAUUUUUGGGCCUCCCUGCCAGGAUUCACAGAGGUUGUAUCUGCGUCCUGGCUUGAAAGCACGGGUCAUACUGAACUAUUCCAGGUUCUGCAUCAUAAACUAAAGAAGACCGGUAGGCGUCUUCCCUUGUGGAGUAGAGGCUUAUUCUCCAAAGCCAAGCUUCACCACCAUGCUGCUCUGCUUGUUAUCUUGCACUUGGACAUGGCCCAGGAGGCGCGCCCCCUCUCCCAUGCGGAGUUGGAUCUUCGGGUGAGGAUCAAAAGGAGGGUCAUUGCCCUCGCAGUCCUGGAAAGAGCAAGGAAAAAGCAGUGUGCGCGUCUUACCAACCUCAGAAGGGGUGAUGCCAAUACCAAGUUCUUUCACCGUAGGGUGAAUGCACGGCGGAGGAAGAACCACAUUCACCGGAUCAAGCACAACAACGGUUGGAUCACUGGGCACGAUCACAAGGAGAAUAUCAUGCAUGACCACUUUUCCGAGGUCAUGGGGUGA